rnacentral:rRNA from 1 species
GACAGAGGAGCCAAGCGUUGUCCGGAUUGACUGGGCGUAAAGCGCACGCAGGCGGAUGCGCGCGUGGGGUGUGAAAUCUGGCCGCUUAACGGCCAGGCGCCAUCCCAUACGGCGCGUCUGGAGUGAUGCAGAGGUCGAUGGAAUUGCCGGUGUAGUGGUGAAAUGCGUAGAGAUCGGCAGGAACACCCAGGGGGAAACCAGUCAACUGGGCAUCUACUGACGCUGAGGUGCGAGAGCGUGGGGAGCGAACCGG